AUUGAACGCUGGCGGCAGGCCUAACACAUGCAAGUCGAACGAGUGGCGGACGGGUGAGUAAUGUCUGGGAACCUGCCUGAUGGAGGGGGAUAACUACUGGAAACGGUAGCUAAUACCGCAUACCAUCAGAUGUGCCACGAUGGGAUUAACUUGUUGGUGGGGUAACGGAUCACCAAGGCGACGAUCCCUAUCUGGUCUGAGAGGAUGACCAGCCACACGGGAACUGAGACACGGUCCAGACUCGUACGUGAGGCAGCAGUGGGAAUUAUUGCACAGUGGGCGCAAGCCGGAUGCGGCCAUGCCGCGUGGAUGAAGAGGGCCUUCGGGGUGUAAAGUACUUUCAGCGGGGAGGCGUUACCCGCAGAAGAAGCACAGGCUAACUCCGUGCCAGCAGCCGCGGUAAUUC
rnacentral:rRNA from 1 species